GAGGAAUAUUGGUCAAUGGGCGAGAGCUUGAACCAGCCAAGUAGCGUGCAGGACGACGGCCCUAUGGGUUGUAAACUGCUUUUGUAUGGGGAUAAAGUCAAUCACGUGUGAUUGUUUGCAGGUACCAUACGAAUAAGGACCGGCUAAUUCCGUGCCAGCAGCCGCGGUAAUACGGAAGGUCCGGGCGUUAUCCGGAUUUAUUGGGUUUAAAGGGAGCGUAGGCUGGAGAUUAAGUGUGUUGUGAAAUGUAGACGCUCAACGUCUGACUUGCAGCGCAUACUGGUUUCCUUGAGUACGCACAACGUUGGCGGAAUUCGUCGUGUAGCGGUGAAAUGCUUAGAUAUGACGAAGAACUCCGAUUGCGAAGGCAGCUGACGGGAGCGCAACUGACGCUGAAGCUCGAAGGUGCGGGUAUCGAACAGGAUUAGAUACCCUGGUAGUCCGCACAGUAAACGAUGGAUGCCCGCUGUUGGUACGUGGUAUCAGCGGCUAAGCGAAAGCAUUAAGCAUCCCACCUGGGGAGUACGCCGGCAACGGUG
rnacentral:rRNA from 1 species